rnacentral:rRNA from 1 species
GAUGAACGCUGGCGGCGUGCCUAAUACAUGCAAGUCGAGCGAACAGACGAGGAGCUUGCUCCUCUGACGUUAGCGGCGGACGGGUGAGUAACACGUGGAUAACCUACCUAUAAGACUGGGAUAACUUCGGGAAACCGGAGCUAAUACUGAUAAUAUAUUGAACCGCAUGGUUCAAUAGUGAAAGACGGUUUUGCUGUCACUUAUAGAUGGAUCCGCGCCGCAUUAGCUAGUUGGUAAGGUAACGGCUUACCAAGGCGACGAUGCGUAGCCGACCUGAGAGGGUGAUCGGCCACACUGGAACUGAGACACGGUCCAGACUCCUACGGGAGGCAGCAGUAGGGAAUCUUCCGCAAAGGGCGAAAGCCUGACGGAGCAACGCCGCGUGAGUGAUGAAGGUCUUCGGAUCGUAAAACUCUGUUAUUAGGGAAGAACAAAUGUGUAAGUAACUAUGCACGUCUUGACGGUACCUAAUCAGAAAGCCACGGCUAACUACGUG